AGUGAACGCUGGCGGUAGGCCUAACACAUGCAAGUCGAACGGCAGCACAGUAAGAGCUUGCUCUUACGGGUGGCGAGUGGCGGACGGGUGAGGAAUACAUCGGAAUCUACUUUUUCGUGGGGGAUAACGUAGGGAAACUUACGCUAAUACCGCAUACGACCUACGGGUGAAAGCAGGGGAUCUUCGGACCUUGCGCGAUUGAAUGAGCCGAUGUCGGAUUAGCUAGUUGGCGGGGUAAAGGCCCACCAAGCCAACGAUCCGUAGCUGGUCUGAGAGGAUGAUCAGCCACACUGGAACUGAGACACGGUCCAGACUCCUACGGGAGGCAGCAGUAGGGAAUAUUGGGCAAUGGGCGCAAGCCUGAUCCAGCCAUACCGCGUGAGUGAAGAAGGCCUUCGGAUUGUAAAGCCCUUUUGUUGGGAAAGAAAAGCAGCAGGUUAAUACCCCGCUGUUCUGACGGUACCCAAAGAGUAAGCACCGGCUAACUUCGUG
rnacentral:rRNA from 1 species